GAUAGUGUGAGUGUGUGUGUGUGUGUUCGGAGGCGGUACAGUUAUCAUGACUGGCUGUGUGCAGAUUUAUUUAGUGUCUGAAAGUGCCAUGCUGUGAAAUGAUGCCAUGCUGUUAAACAUGCAGGAACGGUUCCCCUGGAGCUCCUUCCUCAGAGGACCCUGCUUGGACCCCCCCGAGGAGGGCCUGCCUAGCCGGGAGGACUUGGACAUCUUCCCAGCGCUGAGAAAAGCUCCGCUCAGAUCUGUAAACCUCUUAGUUUUGGCAGUAAACAAACUCCUGCACUAACCACAGUAGUUGGUGUACACGGAGGCGGAGGUGUGUCUGGUCGACGGGCAGAUAUGGUCUCUGGUCUCUGGUCCUUCUGUGCAGAGCAAGGGAGACGAUCUGUGUGUGUGUGUGAAGCCCUGCUCCUGGUGAGCUGCGGUAGCGCCGUAUGAUCAGCUGGAAGUGGAUCCACGUGUUCCCUCUGCUGCACGCUGCCGCUGAGCCACCACGCUGCUGUGAUGCAGAGCGACGCUUAAGCCUGCCAGCCUACAUGAGGG